rnacentral:rRNA from 1 species
AUUGAACGCUGGCGGCAUGCCUUACACAUGCAAGUCGAACGGUAACAGGUCUUCGGAUGCUGACGAGUGGCGAACGGGUGAGUAAUGCAUCGGAACGUGCCCAGUAGUGGGGGAUAGCCCGGCGAAAGCCGGAUUAAUACCGCAUACGACCUGAGGGUGAAAGGGGGGGAUCGCAAGACCUCUCGCUAUUGGAGCGGCCGAUGUCAGAUUAGCUAGUUGGUGGGGUAAAGGCCUACCAAGGCAACGAUCUGUAGUUGGUCUGAGAGGACGACCAGCCAAACUGGGACUGAGACACGGCCCAGACUCCUACGGGAGGCAGCAGUGGGGAAUUUUGGACAAUGGGCGCAAGCCUGAUCUAGCAAUGCCGCGUGCAGGAAGAAGGCCUUCGGGUUGUAAACUGCUUUUGUCAGGGAAGAAAUCUUCUGGGUUAAUACCUCGGGAGGAUGACGGUACCUGAAGAAUAAGCACCGGCUAACUACGUGCCAGCAGCCGCCGUAACAC